rnacentral:rRNA from 1 species
ACACAUGCAAGUCGAACGGCAGCACGGGUGCUUGCACCUGGUGGCGAGUGGCGAACGGGUGAGUAAUACAUCGGAACAUGUCCUGUAGUGGGGGAUAGCCCGGCGAAAGCCGGAUUAAUACCGCAUACGAUCUACGGAUGAAAGCGGGGGACCUUCGGGCCUCGCGCUAUAGGGUUGGCCGAUGGCUGAUUAGCUAGUUGGUGGGGUAAAGGCCUACCAAGGCGACGAUCAGUAGCUGGUCUGAGAGGACGACCAGCCACACUGGGACUGAGACACGGCCCAGACUCCUACGGGAGGCAGCAGUGGGGAAUUUUGGACAAUGGGCGAAAGCCUGAUCCAGCAAUGCCGCGUGUGUGAAGAAGGCCUUCGGGUUGUAAAGCACUUUUGUCCGGAAAGAAAUCCUUGGUUCUAAUAUAGCCGGGGGAUGACGGUACCGGAAGAAUAAGCACCGGCUAACUACGUGCCAGCAGCCGCGGUAAUACGUAGGGUGCGAGCGUUAAUCGGAAUUACUGGGCGUAAAGCGUGCGCAGGCGGUUUGCUAAGACCGAUGUGAAAUCCCCGGGCUCAACCUGGGAACUGCAUUGGUGACUGGCAGGCUAGAGUAUGGCAGAGGGGGGUAGAAUUCCACGUGUAGCAGUGAAAUGCGUAGAGAUGUGGAGGAAUACCGAUGGCGAAGGCAGCCCCCUGGGCCAAUACUG